rfam:Caenorhabditis remanei strain PB4641 contig10.31, whole genome shotgun sequence.
UAUCCAACUAAAAUACCUUCAAGGCCUUUCCUAAGACCUCGAGUACAAUUUUUGGAAAACCCUGUCUAUUCUUUAGGCAGGGUG